rnacentral:RNase_P_RNA from 1 species
UAAGUCGGAUGACUGCGGUGAAAAUACGAGGAAAGUCCGAGCUUCACAGAGCAGGAUGCCGGAUAACGUCCGGUGGAGGCGACUCUAAGGAUAGUGCAACAGAGAUAUACCGCCGCGUAAGCGGUAAGGGUGGAAAGGCGAGGUAAGAGCUCACCGAGUGCUAUGGCAACUUAGCAUUCCUGUAAACCCCAUCCGAAGCAAGAUUGAUAGCGGAGCAUUAACGGCUGCUCGUCGGCUCCCAUGUAAUCGCUUAAACUUUUCGGCAACGGAAAGGAUAGAUAGAUAGUCAUCGGUACGAAAGUACAACAGAACUCGGCUUAUAGACUUGCUCA